UACGAAGGGGGCUAGCGUUGUUCGGAAUUACUGGGCGUAAAGCGCGUGUAGGCGGGUCUUUAAGUCAGGGGUGAAAUGCCAAGGCUCAACCUUGGAACUGCCUUUGAUACUGAAGACCUUGAGUCCGGGAGAGGUGAGUGGAAUUGCGAGUGUAGAGGUGAAAUUCGUAGAUAUUCGCAAGAACACCAGUGGCGAAGGCGGCUCACUGGCCCGGAACUGACGCUGAGACGCGAAAGCGUGGGGAGCAAACAGG
rnacentral:rRNA from 1 species